rnacentral:rRNA from 1 species
UACGAAGGGGGCUAGCGUUGCUCGGAAUGACUGGGCGUAAAGGGCGCGUAGGCGGAUCGUACCGUCAGAUGUGAAAUUCCUGGGCUCAACCUGGGGACUGCGUUUAAUACAGCCAGACUUGAGUGUGGAAGAGGGUCGUGGAAUUCCCAGUGUAGAGGUGAAAUUCGUAGAUAUUGGGAAGAACACCGGUGGCGAAGGCGGCGACCUGGUCCAUUACUGACGCUGAGGCGCGAAAGCGUGGGGAGCAAACAGG